rnacentral:lncRNA from 1 species
CGUAUAUAACAAUAAAUUUCUUCGAAAAUGAGAUUCACACCACAUUUAGCACCAUAAAUAGCAACGAACAAUGCGUUUUGAGGUAAGUAUAAAUUGUAACACACACGUGUUGACAAUUGCAACACAAGCUCUCUCUCUCUCUUGCUCGCUCGCCACUAAUCUCAUUGUCGGCUCUCUCUCUCCUCUUCACCCCAAAUCCAACAGCCAUGGGUCACUCUCUCUUCCCCCGAGAGAUCCAGCAGCCGUGGGUCUCUCCUUCUCCAAAUCCAGCAGCUGCCGCUCACUCUCUCUCCCUCCUAAAUUCCAUAGCAGUUGUGGGUCACAGCUGCUGUUAUCUCUUCGCCAACUGUUGGAAAUUUCUUAUUAGAAUGUCUGACCAUGCAGUGAUUAUGUGUCUAACCCAUGAAUGAUUGUAUACCAUGCCUUUUCCUUGUUUUGGUUUUUGUUUUAUUCGAAUGAUAAUUGAUAUAUAGUUGCAUCGUUGUAUAAUAAUUCAGAUGGAAUCUAUAAUUUGGAGCUCAAUUUUAACCGAGUUUAUGCUUAAUGUUAUAUUUGAGUUUUAUGUUUUGUGUUUUCUUAAGCUGGGUGUUUCUUAUUCUAAAGUGAAGAAGAUGUGGCACUAAUUGUUGUGAGAGAUGAAAUCGACGGGGAAGACAGAGCGAGCCGACUAUGAGAAUGGUGAGGAAGAACGGAGUGCGGUUAGAUUGGUGGCUCCGGUGAGAUUUUAUUGACUGCUGCUAAAUAAUCCCUAAAUAAUUUGAAUAAUUAUUGCCCUCUACUCCUCAAUUUUUCCAUCUCUCUACAACAUAUAUUUUGGAACCAUGUAUAUGCAAAACAAUUCAUUAUUCAAAUGGGUUCAAUAUUUCCACUCAACCACCAACCGCGUUGUUCAGGACAUAUCCUUAAUUUAAAUGUUAAUUUUUUGCCAUGCACUCCCAAUUUUUCCAAUUAUCCAAACAAAACGUUAAAUUUCCACCAUCCACUUUUAUUAGCGACAAAUGAUUCCUAUCACUAAUCUAAAAUUCGAAUUACACUAACCUUAAAUUUUGUUAACCCAAUCCCUUCUGAUUCAUUCAAUACUGCCACGACAAACUGCAAGUCGUCGCAAGCCAAUUCAAAAAUCCCACACGGAAGCGCUGCCCCAGCCACAGUUACGCCUUGCCCACUUCAAUUUUCUUGCGUUCGAGAAACCGUUGUCAUCGGUCAAAAUGGCUAGUAAGGGUUUACAGCCCUUAACAGUUAUCUUGAACAAAGAAAUUGGAAGAAACUGGUUUCGAUGGUUGCCCAUUGUAAUUGACUUUUACCCCUUUCAAACCCCAUCCGUUGGAUUAAAUUAAUUAUAAUCUAACGGCUACACUGGAUAAUGACAAAAAAAAAGGGUACCAUGCCCCUCGGGCAUGGUAGCUGGACCCACAACUUAGAUAUUACAAUUAGAUUACAUCAAAUUAAUAACUAUGAAUUUGUGUUAAAAAUUUUAAAUUAAAUAUAAAGUCCAAACUUCCUGUUUAUAUGACAUAAUUUCAUUAGGUAGCUUACACAUACGGCAAGCAACACAAAAAUUGAGUCACCCUUCCUUUAUAAAUUCCUAAAGUGGGGCAGAUUAUUGACUAUAAAGAAAAGUCCUCUAUAUGCUGCAAAGCUAGAUGAGUCGAGUUUGACUUACCAUAGCACCAUUGUUGAUGACGAUAGGAUUGUGACAAAGAUGAAAAUAAAGAUCCUUCUUAGACAAAGAAGUAAUCAAAGAUGAAUCGGAGACCGAAUUGGAAAUGAUCUGCUUGUAAUCGGACGGCAGAAACUUCUCCCACACGGAAUCUGAAUCCGCAGCUGAUUUGAAGAUGGGACAUACCGUUGAUGAUAUGCAAGCAUCGCGAAGAGUUGUGAGAGAAAUGAUGUGCGAAAUGCACUCUGCAGGCAGCUGAUCAGCAACAGCGAUGUCCAUAUUACUUUCUCUAUUCAUUCUUCUUUAAUUUGCAACUCACAACCCCUUAUAGAGUAGGCAAGACUUCUUUGACAACCUAUAUUUGUAAGUCAAGUCAAUAUAGAAGGUUAUUAAAUUAAUUAGAAGUAGCGGAUAAAAGAUUCCAAAAUCAUACGGUUUGAAGUUUCAACAACAGUGAUGUCCUGUCCAUUUACACUUGGAGCUAUAAUGUGGGGUAAUUUGGAAAAUUGGGUUAAUUUCGGAUUAUCCCUCAUCAAUUAACUAUCAUUAAAUCCUUCUCUUUAUUUUUAAAAUCUCAAUUUAUCUCCUGAAGACAAAAAAAUUCAUCAACUAACCCUAAUUUUCCCUUAACUUUUGAACAAAAAUAAAAUAAUUUGAGGUUAUCAAAAAUAAGAAAAAUUAUUUAAAGAUAAUCAAUUUAUGAGAGAUAAUCUAAAAUUUACCCAAAAAAUUAUAUAUAUACAUCUACACAGAUUAACCUAAGGUCACCCCAACUUCUCAAAAAUGUAAAUGGAUUAAAACAUUUUAAAUCAUAGUCAGCUCAGCCUUUUUUCUUGAAGAAUUAAAAAGAAAUCAGUGUCUAUUCUUCUCCAAUUAAUUUUUUAUCCCCUUUAAUUUGGUCUUGAUUGUUCUAUUGUUAUUUAAUUUGGUCUUGAUUGUUCUAUUGUUACUUGGUGGCGGGAUGCGCAAUAGGAGAUUUAGACGUUUUAUCUAAAAGAGUUAAUGGUUUUUCUCCAAACUACAAAUUCACUUCACGGGCGCACCUAUAUUUCUUUAUUAUAAUUUGCAUUUUGCAUUUUUGUUUCAGUUGUAUGUGUGUAAGGAAUAAAGUUAAUUAUGUUCCCCCUAAUUGUGUCUACUUCUUUUUUCAAUAAAAAUCUUUUCCUUGACAAGGUUCACCUAAAAUGAUCUUUUUGGUCCUUACAUAUUUUUUAGGUGGAGCUACUUAAACCUAAUAUUUUUUCAGAACAAAUCAUAUUUUUACUAUAGGAUUUUGGAUAUUCAUAUCAAAGAGAUUAUUGGAUAUUAAAAAUAGCUUGAAUUGGAUUCCUAAAUCACAACAUCAGGAUCCCAUAAUACCGAAAACUGAUCAAGAAGCCUAUGUGACAUAUUUACAAAAAUGAGAGAUGUAAUUAAUAAUUACACACUCUUGUUUUAGUCAUGCAAAAAUACAGCUCCAAUAAAGAAAUGAUUUCCGAAAAAAUAAAUAAAGACGUGAAGCAAUAUCGUCAAUAGAAAAAGGCCAACAUAAAACGUUGGUCUUAUAAACAAUCUGCUAUAUAUGCGGCCUAUGCCAACUUACACAGUAAAGAGCUGAAUAUAUAAACAUUGCCAGUGUAUAACAACCACAUAUCGUUGUAAUGGCAUUUAUCCGCCAUUUUUAGGCCUAAACUCAAUUCGUUCGAUAAUUAUACCAUGCUUAGAACUGUAGCCAUCAAAGUCAAAGACACUACAAACGACAAUUACAUCAUCUUCAUUUUCAUUAAAGAACUCAUCCACCCAUCUGCCCUGUCUUGAGAUAGUUGAGGCAUAUCUUUCGGAGGAUCUAGCACCAGUCUAUGUCUUUCCCCAUUAUCGUUUUCAUCAAAAUAGACACCAAACCCUACAGGUCUUGUUUCAAACCCAUAUCUGGGAUCGACAAACUAGAACACAAGGUAAGCUGCAUAAAUAGUUUUCAAGGACAAAAUUUGUGUCUCUAUAGUUCCUUUGAUUUCAAACGCCACACAAGCUUGAGUUCUGCCACUUCAGGAAACAUAUAAAUGCAUUAGGAUAAUAUGCAUAGAUCAACAUAAAUGAUAGCUUUUGUUUGUAUAAUUAUUAGAAUGUAUCCUCUCAUGAUUUGAGUUCUCUUGACUGUUUAAACAUUUUUGCCACGCGUCACACGAAUAGGCUUCUUCUCGACUGAAAUAAAGUUGGGCUUGAAUGGAAAUUCAGAGUAAUUGGUUUGCAAUCAGCUUAAUUGGACUAUUAAUGCUCCCCUAUGACUACACAUCUCACAUGUUCAAAGGGGGUGAUGUUACAACCUAAAAAUCAAUAUUAAGCCCAAUGACCCAAUUGAUCAGCCCAUCCGGCUCAAGCACGGGAUGCGUUACAUGCUUCUUAGAGUUCGUGCCAGGUAUUGUCUAAUGGAAACAUGCAAGGAAAACGUGAAAUUUAGUCAGGCUAGCUAUACAGGACAUUCAAAGGUAGUGUCUAUUCUUACAGCCGAAUACAGUAAAGAGGUGGCAAUAAAAUAUUGCCAACCAAUUUCAACAAAGGAGAUUAUUUUAUUAAAAUAAAUCAAUUUUAACAAAUAAAUUAUUAUUUUAAAGCAACUGAUUUUGAUAAAACAAAAAAAAAAUUAUGCUUUAAAGCCAACCAAAAUUGACAUUUUGGGCUUGGCUUGCCCUAUAAAUAAGGGAGUUGAAAGCAUGGAGAGAUCAUGAAUUAAGAGAGUUUUUUUAGAAUUUUCGGAGAGUUUUUUGAGAAUUUGAGACUUUGGAUGCGUUGGGGUGUCGAGUUGUGAAAUAAAAUAAUCAAAACUUGUAACUCUACAUAACUAGUAAAAUAUUUUCUCUCAUCUUCUCCUGUGGACUUAGGCUAAAAGCUGAACUGCGUAAAUUCUUAUGUCUCAUGUGUUAUAUUUAUUUCUCAAUUUCAUUUUGGUCAUGUAUCUACUUCACUCACCAAUUCAUUAACAAUUGAUAUCAGAGCCAUUGAUUGUAAUUAUUCGAAUUAGAGAUACUAUUAAGAUAUAUCGAGCCACACGUCACAAGAAUGGGGCCCUUCUCGAUUGUAAUAGAGUUGGAUUUGAAUGGAAAUUCGGACUAAUUGGUCUACAAUCCACCUUAUUAUGUUGUGUGUUUUGAAGAAUAAGGUUCAAAAGCGUAUUCUGGCAUUGAUAUGGUUCAAAUAAGCUCUUGUUAUUCAAAAUCCUAUACGUGAAUAGUAUCAUAUGUGUGAAUAGUAUCUCUACUCUGAAUAACUCCGAUCAAUGGCUUUGAUAUCAAUUGUUAGUGGAUUGGUGAGUGAAGUAAAUACAUGAGUAAAAUGAAACUGAGAAAUAAAUAUAACAGAUGAGACAAAAGAAUUUACGUGAUCUGACUUUUAGCCUACGUCCACGGGAGAAGAUGGGAGGGAAUAUUUUACUAGUUGUGUAAGUUACAAGUAUUGCAGUAUUUUACCUAAACUCUCAAAUUACUAAAUUAAGAACUUAAAGUUCUAAAAAUAUUGUCUUAAAGUUCUCAAAAUACUCACUUAAUUCAUGAUCUCUCUAUGCUCUCAACACCCUUAUUUGUAGGGCAAGCCAAUACCAAAAUGACAAUUUUGGUUAGCUUUAAAAAAUAAUUUAUUUUGUCUUAUCAAAUUGGUGGGCUUUAAAAUAAUAAUAAUUUGUUAAAAUUGAUUUAUUUUAAUAAAAUAAUUCACUUUAAACUAACCAUGUUUUCUUUUAUUUUUGGAUGUAAUUUUUUUAGGCAGGUAAUUUGAUUAUGCGAUAUGCUCACCUACGACUACAAUUCUCACGUAAUCAAAAGGGGUAAUGUUACUACUUAAAAAUCAAUAUUAGGACCAAUGACCAUAUUCAGUCCAUUACGCUUAGGCAUGGAAUAUGUUACAUGCUUCUCAGAGUUCGCGCAGGGUGUUGCCUAAUGGAAACAUGUGAGGAAAAUGUGAAGUUUAGUCAGGUUAGUUGUUCAAGACAUUCAAUGGUAGUAUCUAUUUUUACAGCCUAAACACAGUAAAGUGGUGGCAAUAAAAUAUUGCCAACCAAUUUUGACAAAGCAAAUCAUUUUAUUAAAAUGAAACAAUUUGAACAAAUAAAUUAUUAUUUUAAAGCCCACCAAUUUUGAUAAAACAAAAUAAAUUAUUUUUAAAGCCAACCAAAAUUGACAUUUAGGCUUGGCUUGCCCUAUAAAUAAGAGAGUUGAGAGCAUGGAGAGAUUAUGAAUUAAGAGAGUAUGUUGAGAACUUUAAGAAAGAAAUUUAAGAACUUAACAGUAAUUUGAGAAUUCAGGAGUAUUGGGGUGUUGGGUUGUUAGAUAAAAUAUUGUAAUAUUUGUAACUCUACCCAACUAGUAAAAUAUUUCCUCUCAUCUUCUCCCGUGGACAUAGGCUAAAAGCCGGAUCAUAUAAAUUCUUUUGUCUCCUGUGUUAUAUUUAUUUCUCAAUUUCAUUUUAAUUGUGUAUCUACUUCACUCAUUAAUUCAUUAGCAGCGAUAUAAGAGCCAUUGAUUGUAAUUUUUCGGCAUAGAGAUACUAUGUAGAGUAUCUGAUAACACAAGAAUUAUUGAUCGAAUAAUUGCAAUCAAUAACUCUGAUAUCACUGUUAGUGAAUUGAUGGGUGAAGUAGAUACACUAAAAUGAAAUUGCUAAAUAAAUAUUUGGUUCGACUUUUAGCCUAUAUUCACGAAAAAAUGUAAGAGGAAAUAUUUUAGUAGUUGUGUGGAGUUACAUGUAUUGCAGUAUUUUAUCUCACAACCCAACACCCUGAUACACCCAAACUCUUAAAUUACUAAAUUAAGAACUCAAAGUUCUCAAAAUACUCUCUUCAAGUUCUCAAAAUACUUUCUUAAUUCAUGAUCUCGCCAUGCUUUCAAAUCCCAUAUUUAUAGGGCAAGUCAAGCCCAAGAUGUCAAUUUUGGUUGGCUUUAAAAAAUGAUUUAUUUUGUUUUAUCAAAAUUGAUGGGCUUUAAAAUAAUACUUUAUUUGUUAAAAUUAAUUAAUUUUAAUAAAAUGAUUUUGCUUUGUCAAAAUUGGUUGGCAAUAUUUUAUUGCCACCACUUUACUGUAUUUAGGCUGUAAGAAUAGACAUUGUCGCUGAAUGUCCUGAACAGCUAGCCUGACUAAAUUCCACAUUUUCCUAGCAUGUUUCCAUUAGGUAAUGCCCGGUGCGAGCUCUAAGAACCAUGUAACACAUCCCGUGCCUGAGCUUGAUUGGCUGAAUUGGGUCAUCGGGUCUAAUAUUGAUUUUUUAAGUAGUAAUAGUUUAUUAGUAAUAGUGUUUGGCAUUAAGAUUUACUAAUAAUCAUCAAUCAUCUAAAUGAAUUUAGCUUAGAUGAAUCAAAGAUCAAGAGAAAAUCUUGAUUCGACACUGAUAUAUACCACUUCAGGAAAUCUACAAAUGUAUUCGGAUAAUAUGCAAAGAUCAACAUAAAUUAUAGCUUUUGUUAUAUAAUUACAAGAAAAUAUUAUCUCAUGAUCUCAGCUCUUCUAAAUUUUUAAACAUGUGUGUCACAUGAUUGUUUAGUAAUAGUGUACACCGUUAGGAUUUAACUAUUAACCAUCGCUCAUCUAAGUGAGUUUCACUUAGAAGAAUAAUAAAUCCUGCGGAAAUCCUAAGAGGGCCUUAGUCAGCACAAAUGGUGAUUCCUUGUCAUGUGCAAGUCAUUUAUGAGAUAUUUCAAUGGGCAACAAGUCAUCCAUGGUGUUUAAACUUAGUCAUUUCAUAAGAAGAUUGAAUAGCUGAAGCAAAAGUAGAGCAAUUACCGGCACUUACCAUGUCCAAAUUAGGGGAAAAAGAAAUUCCAUCACAGAUUAAGAAUCAAAAUCAAUUAUAGACCAGCCAAUCCAAAUUUUGCUUGAAACAAAAAGAUUAUUAAUUUCACCAAUUUCUAAUUUGGACCAAUGACUAGAGUUCCAUAUUCUAGUUUAAUCAACAGAUCAAUAAUGCACUAAAAUUAAUUGCUUAAUUAAUCUUAUAACAUAUGCUUUGCGUAUAAAUUUGAUAUAUACUUAACCAAAAAAAAAAAACACCUAAGUCAAGUGAUUGAUAGGGUUGUGACAAAGAUGAAAAUAAAGAUCUUUCCUACACAAAGAAGUGAUCAAAGAUGAAUCAGGGACCUAACUAGAAAUGAUCUGCUUGAAAUCAGAUGGCAGAAAAUUCUCCCACAUGGAAUCUGAAUCCGCAACUGAUUUGGAAAUGGGACAUAACACUAAUAAUUUGCAGGCAUCUUGAGGAGUUGCGAGAGAAAUGAUGUGGGAAAUGCACUCUGCAAGCAGUUAAUAAAAAACAGUAAUGUCCACUUUACUUUCUCUAUUCAUUCUUCCUUAAUUUGCAACUCACAAAUGCCUCGAGAGUAAGACUUCUUUGUUAAGCUAUAAAUGUAGUCAAGUCAAUUUAUGUCCUCUUUGGUGUUGAGGUAAGAUAGUUAUAACUUAAAAGCUAUAAUACUAAGGGAUAAUUUGGUAAUAUUGUAGCUUUUAAAAUAAUUGUUGUUAGUUAUGUUGCAAACAUAAUCAGAUGUGAAAAGAAUUAAUUAAAUAUUUAAUAAAAAUUACUUUUAAAAGUAUUAUAAUUUUUCAAAGCAGUUGUAUGUGUUUGUUAAAUUUUACUGUUAAACUACCAUAAGAAUAUAAAUGAUUGAAUUAGAUAUAAUAUUGAAUAACAUUUAUUUACAUAUUUAUAAACAUGUAUAAGAAUGUUUUUUUAUUGUAUAUAUAUAAUAAUUGAUAACUAUAAUAAAUAUCUUAUUUUUUAAUUUUAUUUUUCAUUUUGUUAACUCUAUAGAAUUGGUAAUAACAAAAAGUCCUUUAAAGUUAAAGAUUUUAUUUCCUAGUUAAUGAGGAUAAUUUUAUACUUUUAUAAAAUUUAUGAAAAGUAUAAAAUUCAUUCACAAAAUCAAAUUUUGAAAAGUUACUCAUUUCCUACUUUUCAAAACCUACUAUUAGAUGGGAUAAUUUUACUAAAAGUGGUUUCUAAAAAAAUUUAGCAAGCACUAAAAUUAGUUUUUAGCUUUCUAGAAUCACUUAUUAACUUCUCAAAAACAAUCCCCAAAGUGUUUGGUAAACAUUAAUUGUUGCUUGAAAACUAAGUUGAUUUAAUCCACUACUUGUAUGAUGAAGAACCUAUAAUAUCUUUAUUAUUUUUGUCAAAAUUAUUUUUAAAAGUCAUGUUUAUUACAUAUUAUUAACUUUUAUUUUAAAUUUAUAACUUUUUUCCCAUAGCAGUUAUAACUUAAAAGUUAUAACAUCUUAAUAUCAAAUAGAGAUUUAGAAGGUUAUUAAAUUAGGAGUAGGACUAUUAGCAAUUUAGCAUCCUUCCAAAACUUUUAUAAAACCUCAUAUUUAUACAUGCACAGUUUUGCCCUUCAUAAUUUGAAAAUAAACUGAUCCAAUCAAACCCCACACAUCUUUCCUUGUAAAAAAGAAAAAGAAAAAAAAAAAGACAAACAAAUCACUAGUUGAUAUCAAUCUUCGGUAUAUAUGAUAUAUGACAAUCAAGGAUAUCUUUUUUUAAUUAAUUAUAUAUUUAAUUAGUUUCCUUAGAUAAUUUAAUUUGCUUUUAUAUAUAUACAUAUAUAUGCAGAUGGUAGAUGAUGAUGAGAAGGAUCCUAAUAUUUGAACUGUUGAUGGUGAAGAAGUGGAAAUUUAUCAUCGACAAAGUUAACAAAAUGGUAGCAGAAAGGGCGUUGAAGCCACAGAAAGUAAAUAACUAUCAAAGUAAUUUUUUCAUGCAUAAUUUUACAAAUACACAUAUAAUUUUCUUUUAUGAAAGAUAGAAUUGGUGACACAAAAAGUCAAUAUCAACUUUUAAAAUAUUCUACAAAGAAAGAGAGAGAGUGGGGAGUCGAGACCUUAUAAGAGAUAGAGAGAGAGAGAGAGAGAGAGAGAGAGAGAGAGAGAGAGAGGAAUCUCUAGAGAAACAAAGGUGUAGGUUAUAAGUGGAAUUAAAGUGGGUGCUUUUGAAAAAAAGAAGUAAAAUUUUAAAAGUUUUUAAUGAGGUAUCCUAAGAGGUAGGUUUUAUAAGGAUUUCAUGGAGUUGCUAAUAAUCUCUUGCUCUAACCGUAAAACAUUUUUUCCUGCUUUCUUUCUCCAGCACAAAGCUCUGUCAAAGAAUGACAAUUAAUUUUAGCUUUAAAAUUGAGAUUAUAUCAAAGAAGAAGAAAGUUUUAGGCCCUAUUUGGUAUUUGGGGUGGUGUAGUUCUUGAACCAUAGUUAUUGUGAAAUAUUAAAAAAACUAUGAGAUAAAAAUUAAUAGUAUAUAAUAAAUAAAACUUUGCAUAAUAAUAUUUACAAAAAAAGAAGAAGAUAUUAUAAGCUUUUCAUCAUAUAAGUGUAGGAUCAAAUCAGCUUAGUUUUGCAGUAAUAAGAACAAAUACUGUAACUUAAAAGUUAUAGUUACCAAACCUCGAUAACAACUUAGUUGCCACAGAUAGUGAUUCCUUAUCAUAGCAAUUCGUUUAUCGCAUACUUCUAUGGAUAAGAAGUCAUCAUCCAUUGUGUUUUAACUUACUCAUUUCAUAAAAAAAUUGAAUAGCUGGAGCAAAAGCAGAGCAAUUUCUGGUGCGUACUUUGCGCUAAGUCAGGGAAAAAUAAAUUCCGUCACAAAUUAAGAAUCAAAAUCAAUUAUGGACCAGCCAAUCCAAAUUUUGGCUGAAACAAAGAAGAUUCUUAAUUUCACCAAUUUCUCAUUUGGAUCAAUGACUCGAGUUCCAUAUUCUAGUUUAACCAGCAGAUCAAUCGCACAAUAAAAUUAAUAGCUUAAUUAAUAUAUAACAUAUGCUUGGCAUGUAAAUUUGAUUUGCACAUGUAAAAAAGAAAAAAGAAAAAGAAAACCUUGUCAAGUUUGAAUUACGAUAGAUCCACUAUUGACGAUGAUGCGGUUGCGACAAAGAUGAAAAUAAAGAUCCUUCUUAGACAAAGAGGUGUUGAAAGAUGAAUCAGAGACUGAAUUGGAUAUGAUAUGCUUGUAAUCAGACCGCAGAAAAUUCUCCCAGUCGGAAUCUGAAUCCGCAACUGAUUUGUAGAUGAGACAUACCCACGGAUAAUCUGCAGGCAUCACGAGGAGUUGUAAGAGAAAUUAUGUAGGAAACGCACCCUGGUGACAGCACAAAUGUUAUAACCAUUUUACUUCUUGCAACUCGUAGCAAGACAAGGAGUGAGUUUAAAAUAUAUGUAGCAAAGGUAAAUACACCAGACUUCUUUGUUAAGUUAAUGGUAAAUAUGCUCGAUGAUCCAGGAACCUAAUGUUUUGCUUAGUGUCAGACAAUUACUCGUGGCUUUAAAAGAUAGCAAUUAAUUACAACUUCUUUCAAAGUGAAAAAUUGUAACAUUUGCUAGAGAACAGUAAUCAACUGAGCACUUAUUGUGAUUUAUUUGAGUGAUUUCGUCUUCUAUAGUGAAAAGUUCUGUUUAUGUUGCUAAUAAUAAUGUGAAUAAUGCUAGGGAGCCUAACUUUUUAUCCCAAUUUCAUGAGUAUACAAAUUUUAUUAAAAAUAUGUCAUGUUUGUCGACACAUCACUCGAAGAUUUGUGCCAUUUCAUGAUCACGAGAUUUCAGGCUCUUAACAUCAAACCAUUUAACUAAUCUUUUUACAGAGAAAUUUUACAAUACAACUGAAGUUUCACGAAUUAUGUGGAACCAUCAACUAUGUUAUUCCAAAGAGAGUCUUAGUAUCCCUUAUUAAAGACUUAGAGUAUACAUAAUUAUUUUUCUAAAUCUUGAGAGUGUAUCCUUUAUUAAAAAUUUGGGGUAUACAUGAUUAUUUUCUCAAAUCUUAAGAGUGUAGGUAUCCGUUUCCCAUAUAUAAAUGAAGACUUAAAACAAAAUCAUUCAUUAAUAAUAACUCUGGUCUUAAAAGUAAUUUGCUUACAAAAUCAUCCACAACUGUAGCUAAGAUCCUAUGGAUAUAAGGGAUCCACUCCAAUGGCCCUUGAUCAUUGUCCUUUACAAAGGACAGAUCCAAGUUUGUCUUGUUAAAGUCCUCUGAGCUUACCCCUGAGAGCUCUACACCAAUAGUAUUCUCGGGGACUUGCUGAAUCCUCUUCACAGGUCACAUUAUUCAGUUCAGCCAUGUGCCAUGUCACGGCUUGCUUGAUGGAGUGAGUGCUUGGCCCAAGACUACGUAUUCACUGAGGCAAUAGAUCGAACAUCCGAUUCAUUUUCGCAAACAUUUGCCUCAGUCUAAUAUUCAUGCAUCGAAUUGGAUGUGCAACAAAAUGGAGCUCCAUCUGUCAAGUCUUGUAAAUUAAAUGUUGUAAAGAAAUAGCAAUGCUUAACUUUGUUCAAAGUCAUUAUUAUCUUGAAGAACAAGAAAAUUAAAGUUAGCUAGGAACGACAGGUGAUUGAUUCAAGGUUAUUUUACAAGUCAUUAAUAAAACUACAUGAAAGCUCAAUUAAUCUGGAUAUCAUCAUUAACCUAAUGCAUUCAACAAUAAAAUUAUGCCACCUCUCAGUUAUUGCUAUUCCUUCAUGAAUGAAAGAAAGAAGUAUUUGUUGCGUUCUUGGUUGAUUGACCCACCUAAAGAGCUUACAUGCGUCACUAAAUGACUAAAUGUUGCAGUGUCAAAACCAUAAUUCAAUACAGCUAUCAGCCACUUUUAGGCC